rnacentral:rRNA from 1 species
GAUGAACGCUGGCGGCGUGCCUAAUACAUGCAAGUCGAGCGAACAGACGAGGAGCUUGCUCCUCUGACGUUAGCGGCGGACGGGUGAGUAACACGUGGAUAACGUACCUAUAAGACUGGGAUAACUUCGGGAAACCGGAGCUAAUACCGGAUAAUAUAUUGAACCGCAUGGUUCAAUAGUGAAAGACGGUUUUGCUGUCACUUAUAGAUGGAUCCGCGCCGCAUUAGCUAGUUGGUAAGGUGACGGCUUACCAAGGCAACGAUGCGUAGCCGACCUGAGAGGGUGAUCGGCCACACUGGAACUGAGACACGGUCCAGACUCCUACGGGAGGCAGCAGUAGGGAAUCUUCCGCAAUGGGCGAAAGCCUGACGGAGCAACGCCGCGUGAGUGAUGAAGGUCUUCGGAUCGUAAAACUCUGUUAUUAGGGAAGAACAAAUGUGUAAGUAACUAUGCACGUCUUGACGGUACCUAAUCAGAAAGCCACGGCUAACUACGUG